CAGGAUUCCAUGCCCCUGCUUUGUACAAGGUGUAUUUCUCCAAAUCUGGAUGUUUUUAAGUGUUUUCUUCAUUGGUGGCAGUGUGUGGUUAUUGGCAUCAAGAAAACAGAUUGGUCAGAUGACAUCCAUGGUGUCUGUCAACUUUGAAUUCCUAAAAUCAUUGAGCAUUUCAAAGAAGGUGAUUGCAGUGUCUCUUAUAAGAGGAGGGGAGAGUCCUCACAACUACCUGAGAAUUCUAAUCUUACACAUCAACCUCUGCCAAAGGGAGGAGCGGUUUGGCCAUCACAGAAUCCUAAACAACAGGGAGAGGACUUUGAAUAAUCCAAUUCAUACCAUUUUCCUUUCUGUAAACAACUACAAUCUCCAUGAAAUCUUGGAGGAUAAUAUGAGGAUGAAAGAAAAAGACAACUGUGACUGUUUUGUUGUUCAUCUGAUAGCUCUAUAUGCCUUCUGAAAAAUUAAAUGUUGAUAAUCGUGGAAAAUAUAGCUUCCAAAUAAGUAAUUCAAAUCACUCACUGAGAAUCUCACAUAAUUCUUUGUUUUGUAAGUCAUUCAUAUAGAAUGUGCCACAUACUGGAACCCAGAGACGUCCUCCAACAAUGUAAAAUGACAAUCUGCUAUGCAACCCCCAUUUUUAAAAAAAAUAAAGGCAUAGCUUCCUUCCA
rnacentral:lncRNA from 12 species